rnacentral:tRNA from 1 species
GUGGGCAUAGCUCAGUGUGGUAGAGCGCAUGCUCAGCAUGCACAAGGUCCUGGGUUCAAUCCCCAGUACCUCCA